UCACUUCUGGAUGGACCUGCGGUGCAUUAGCUUGUAGGUGGGGUAAUGGCCUACCAAGGCGAUGAUGCAUAGCCGAGUUGAGAGACUGAUCGGCCACAAUGGGACUGAGACACGGCCCAUACUCCUACGGGAGGCAGCAGUGGGGAAUCUUCCACAAUGGGCGCAAGCCUGAUGGAGCAACACCGCGUGAGUGAAGAAGGGUUUCGGCUCGUAAAGCUCUGUUGUUAAAGAAGAACACGUAUGAGAGUAACUGUUCAUACGUUGACGGUAUUUAACCAGAAAGUCACGGCUAACUACGUGCCAGCAGCCGCGGUAAUACGUAGGUGGCAAGCGUUAUCCGGAUUUAUUGGGCGUAAAGAGAGUGCAGGCGGUUUUCUAAGUCUGAUGUGAAAGCCUUCGGCUUAACCGGAGAAGUGCAUCGGAAACUGGAUAACUUGAGUGCAGAAGAGGGUAGUGGAACUCCAUGUGUAGCGAUGGAAUGCGUAGAUAU
rnacentral:rRNA from 1 species